rnacentral:lncRNA from 1 species
GUGGAGCCUGUUCAUUGUAGAAGCUCAUCUGUGAUCCACCCACUGUAGAAGUUCAGACGGAGCCCAACCCUGGUAGGUGUUCGGAUGAAGUCCACCUGCAAUAGAAGUUCGGGGUAGAGAUCCGGCUUUUGUAGAAAUUCAUCUGGAAUCGAUCCGUUAUAGAAGUUCGGACGGAGCUCGGCCCUUGUAGGAGUUCGGAUGAAAUUCGGAAGGCAGUCGACCAUCGUAAAAACUUGGAUGGAGUCUGGUUAUUGUAGAAAAUCGACUGAUAAUGAAGCCCAAAGAGCAUUUGGAGCAGCCCGGUA